rnacentral:rRNA from 1 species
UACGGAGGGUGCAAGCGUUGUCCGGAUUUAUUGGGUUUAAAGGGUGGCGUAGGCGGUUUUUAAGUCAGUGGUGAAAUCCUGCAGCUCAACUGUAGAACCGCCAUUGAUUACUGAAAGACUUGAGUACAGACGAGGUAGGCGGAAUUAUGGUGUAGCGGUGAAAUGCAUAGAUACCAUAAAGAACACCUAUUGCGAAGGCAGCUUACUAGGCUGUAACUGACGCUGAGGCACGAAAGCGUGGGGAUCAAACAGG